UACGGAGGGGACUAGCGUUGUUCGGAAUUACUGGGCGUAAAGGGCGCGUAGGCGGUCGUGACAAGUCACUUGUGAAAUCUCCGGGCUUAACUCGGAACGGUCAAGUGAUACUGUCGGACUAGAGUACAGAAGGGGCAACUGGAAUUCUCGGUGUAGCGGUGAAAUGCGUAGAUAUCGAGAGGAACACCUGCGGCGAAGGCGGGUUGCUGGGCUGAUACUGACGCUGAGGCGCGAAAGCCAGGGGAGCGAACGGG
rnacentral:rRNA from 1 species